rnacentral:rRNA from 1 species
GAUGAACGCUGGCGGCGUGCCUAAUACAUGCAAGUCGAGCGAACAGAUGAGGAGCUUGCUCCUCUGACGUUUGCGGCGGACGGGUGAGUAACAUGUGGAUAACCUCCCUAUAAGACUGGGAUAACUUCGGGAAACCGGAGCUACUACCGGAUAAUAUAUUGAACCGCAUGGUGCAAUAGUGACAGACGGUUUUGCUGUCACUUAUAGAUGGAUCCGCGCCGCAUUAGCUAGUUGGUAAGGUAACGGCUUACCAAGGCAACGAUGCGUAGCCGACCUGAGAGGGUGAUCGGCCACACUGGGACUGAGACACGGUCCAGACUCCUACGGGAGGCAGCAGUAGGGAAUCUUCCGCAAUGGGCGAAAGCCUGACGGAGCAACGCCGCGUGAGUGAUGAAGGUCUUCGGAUCGUAAAACUCUGUUGUUAGGGAAGAACAAAUGUGUAAGUAACUAUGCACGUCUUGACGGUACCUAAUCAGAAAGCCACGGCUAACUACGUG